AGCUCUCCGAGUGGUGUGGAUGUUUAUUGGGCCUAAAGCAUCCGUAGCUGGCCAAGUUAGUCCCUUGUUAAACCCACCGAAUUAAUCGUUGGAUCGCGGGGGAUACUGCUCGGCUAGGGGACGAGAGAGGCAGACGGUAUUUUCGGGGUAGGGGUGAAAUCCUAUAAUCCCGGGAAGACCACCAGUGGCGAAGGCUGUCUGCUAGAACGCGCCCGACGGUGAGGGAUGAAAGCUGGGGGAGCGAACCG
rnacentral:rRNA from 1 species